rnacentral:rRNA from 1 species
AACGGGAUUUUGCUUAUUGCACCACAUGUGUUUUUUAUUGAACAAAUUUCUUUGGUGGCGGGAGCAAUCCUACCGCCAGAGGUUAUAACUAAACCAAACUUUUUAUUUACAGUCAAACUUGAUUUAUUAUUACAAUAGUCAAAACUUUCAACAACGGAUCUCUUGGUUCUCGCAUCGAUGAAGAACGCAGCGAAAUGCGAUACGUAAUAUGAAUUGCAGAUAUUCGUGAAUCAUCGAAUCUUUGAACGCACAUUGCGCCCUUUGGUAUUCCAAAGGGCAUGCCUGUUUGAGCGUCAUUUCUCCCUCAAACCCCCGGGUUUGGUGUUGAGCAAUACGCUAGGUUUGUUUGAAAGAAUUUAACGUGGAAACUUAUUUUAAGCGACUUAGGUUUAUCCAAAACGCUUAUUUUGCUAGUGGCCACCACAAUUUAUUUCAUAACUUUGACCUCAAAUCAGGUAGGACUACCCGCUGAACUUAAGCAUAUCAAA